AACCUUACCAAGACUUGACAUCGUAUGACCGCCAUAGAAAUAUGGUUCCUUCGGGGCAUAUAGACAGGUGGUGCAUGGUGUCGUCAGCUCGUGUCGUGAGAUGUUGGGUUAAGUCCCGCAACGAGCACAACCCUUAUGAGUAGUUGCCAAUAUUCAGUUAGGAACUCUACUCAGACUGCCGUGGACAACACGGAGGAAGGUGGGGAUGACGUCAAAUCAUCAUGCCCCUUACGUCUUGGGCUACACACGUGCUACAAUGGCUACUACAAAGAGCAGCGAGAGGGUAACCUGGAGCAAAUCUCAAAAAGGUAGUCUCAGUUCAGAUUGUGGGCUGCAACCCGCCCACAUGAAGUAGGAGUUGCUAGUAAUCCCGAAUCAGCAUGUCGGGGUGAAUGCGUUCCCGGGUCUUGUACACACCGCCCGUCACGCCAUGGGAGUUGGUAGUACCCAAAGUCGGCGAGCUAACCGCAAGGAGGCAACCGCCUAAGGUAAGACCAGCGACUGGGGUG
rnacentral:rRNA from 1 species